AGACAGGUCUAAGCUACCUCUUUGCACCUGGGAACUCUGUGCCUUUUGAGAGUUGAAGGCUUAAAACAACAACAACCACCACAACAAAACUAUUCACCUUUUUAUCCAAUAGAAACUAAGCUGGGAAAACCAAGACAUAGUGAAUCUGAGAAACUGCCUAAGGACAAGCUCAUCGGCAAGCGGCAGAGCAGUUUUUAAUCAAGGCCCACUUUUUAACCACUGGAAAGAAAAGAGGGAAGGUUCUGAUUUCAUGCUCACUGGGACACUUCCUGGACACAUUCAGCUUCUUACCCAUUAUUCAGAAGGAGAAGUAGAAACCUGUAGAAGUAGCCCUGGGGAGGGUAGUUUCUGAUAAAGGAUGUCUCCAUUUGGAAAUUAA
rnacentral:lncRNA from 1 species